AAGUACCUUCUGAGAAAUCAAAUUCUUUAGGUUCUGGGGAGUAUUAUCGCAAAACUUAAACUUAAAGGAAUUGACGGAAGGGCGGCACAUAUGUUAAACAGUAACGCAGGUGUCCUAUGGCAAAAUCAAAG
rnacentral:rRNA from 1 species